rnacentral:lncRNA from 1 species
CUUCUCUCCUCCUCUUCUUUCUCUUUCCCCCUCUCUUCUUCUUCUCUCCCCGUCUCUCACUCCUCCCCCUCGCCCCGGCCCGCCCCCAGCGCCGCGCCGCUCCACGCCACGCUGGCGGCUCCAGGUGCGAAUGCACCUGCUCUCCUCUGCACCUGCGCCUCGUCUGCGCGCGGCCGGUGGCCGGCAGCCCUGCGCCGGGAGCGCCAGGGAGCUGCUUUCCGGCUGCCGCCGCGCGAACGUGUCAUUCAUUCAUUCCACAAACUUUCAGCAGACCUGGCAGAGAUUUCCCGAAACACUUGCGAUCUGUACUCUGUAGACACAGAAGAGGAGAGAGAAAGAGAUUUAGUUUUUAAAACAAAAAUUGGACUCCUACCAUAUGGACUGUUUCAUAUUCUACUGUUUUAUUUUUUUCAUAACAUGUUAUUGAACAAAUAUUAAUUGAGCAUCUAGUCUGUGCCAAGAACUGUGCUGGCUACUGGGCAUAGAACAGUGAAAAAGGAGACAUGGUCCCUCUCAAGCUCAGCAGCUGCAUUUAUUCCAGCCAAACCUUUGAGCGUUUGUAAGUUUCUGAAGCGGGUUCCCUGACCUGCAUGCAGCGUUCACACCUCCUCCUCCAGCCUGAGGUCUGGAGUCCCCACCCUGGCCACAGGUCAGAGUCUCACUGAGGAGAAGGGCCAACCCAUCACCAAUGAGAAAAGUCCUGCUGAGGCCGUGGGAAGCCACGAGAACUCCGGCCCGUCUCUCUAGAGCCAGUGGACCUCAAAUUUUAGCUGCACGGAGGGAACAUGCUGAAGGAAGAAGAGGAGAUGACCUUAUCUCUAGAAACUCCUAUCAAUACAGAAUGCAAGGACUUAAAUCUGCAUAAUAAUCUUAUUCCUGUUUCUGGUAACCUCGUGUAACUGACUCCUCCCACCUCCAACAUCCUCCUUUGUCUUUAGCUGAAUAUGAUAUUUAAGUGAGAAGUCCUAAAAGCUGUGAUGCCCCAGAAGCAAUGAGCGCACCUAAAACUCCGAUCUUGUUUCUACUUACCACGAAAAGAACCAAAGCCUUUUGAAGAAAUGGCAGAUACCAGGGCUGACAUGGGGAAAGUGCCAGAAAAGCCCAGAAAGUCUUGUGCCAGAAAAUAAGGAAGUGUUCAAAGAAUGAUAGCAACAUGUCAAGAGGACAAGAGCCUGCUUGCAGGGGCUCCCGCUGGAAAAAUCUGAAAUAAUUUGAACAAAAAAAUAAAUAUUGAUGGUAAAGGAGUAUAACCUAUUGAUUAAAGUAAGAGUUCAUGAGUCUACAUGGAUUGAUUUCUAAAUAAAGAAACAAGCAAACGGAUGAGGGAACAGAAAAGCUCUCCUUACAGUAGAAAGCAGUAAACAAUGUAGAAGGAAUGCUGGAAUCAGAAAAUAAUGAAGUGAUCCUGGUGAAUACCAAGAAAAUCAUUAAGCAAGAAUCACCAAUGGAUGCUAAAACUAGUGGGUGAAAAUCUGAAGAGUAAUAGAGUAUUUAUAGGGUAUUCAUGACAGUUGGUAAAAUAUUAACAGCUGGAGAAUUGGGGAGGGUACAUAGGAAUUUUGUACUAUCCUUGCGACUUUUUGUAAGUCUGAAGUGUCAAAAUAAAAAGUUACGAAAAAAGCAGUUGGC